rnacentral:rRNA from 1 species
GACGAACGCUGGCGGCGUGCUUAACACAUGCAAGUCGAACGAUGAAGCGGUGCUUGCACCGUGGAUUAGUGGCGAACGGGUGAGUAAUACGUGAGUGACCUACCUUUGACUCUGGGAUAAGCCUGGGAAACUGGGUCUAAUACCGGAUACGACCAAUCUCUGCAUGGGGUGUUGGUGGAAAGCGUUAUGGAGUGGUUUUAGAUGGGCUCACGGCCUAUCAGCUUGUUGGUGAGGUAAUGGCUUACCAAGGCGACGACGGGUAGCCGGCCUGAGAGGGUGACCGGCCACACUGGGACUGAGACACGGCCCAGACUCCUACGGGAGGCAGCAGUGGGGAAUAUUGCACAAUGGGCGCAAGCCUGAUGCAGCGACGCCGCGUGAGGGAUGACGGCCUUCGGGUUGUAAACCUCUGUUAGCAUCGAAGAAGCGAAAGUGACGGUAGGUGCAGAGAAAGCGCCGGCUAACUACGUGCCAGCAGGCGCGGUAAUACGUAAGGCGCGAGCGUUGUCCGGAAUUAUUGGGCGUAAAGAGCUUGUAGGCGGUUGGUCGCGUCUGCUGUGAAGGCCGGGGCUUAACUCCGGUUUUGCAGUGGGUACGGGCUAACUAGAGUGCAGUAGGGGAGACUGGAAUUCCUGGUGUAGCGGUGGAAUGCACAGAUAUCAGGAGGAACACCGAUGGCGAAGGCAGGUCUCUGGGCUGUAACUGACGCUGAGAAGCGAAAGCAUGGGGAGCGAACAGGAUUAGAUACCCUGGUAGUCCAUGCCGUAAACGUUGGGCACUAGGUGUGGGGGACAUUCCACGUUUUCCGCGCCGUAGCUAACGCAUUAAGUGCCCCGCCUGGGGAGUACGGCCGCAAGGCUAAAACUCAAAGGAAUUGACGGGGGCCCGCACAAGCGGCGGAGCAUGCGGAUUAAUUCGAUGCAACGCGAAGAACCUUACCAAGGCUUGACAUGCAUUAGAUCGCGUCAGAGAUGGCGUUUCCCUUCGGGGCUGGUGUACAGGUGGUGCAUGGUUGUCGUCAGCUCGUGUCGUGAGAUGUUGGGUUAAGUCCCGCAACGAGCGCAACCCUCGUUCUAUGUUGCCAGCGGUUCGGCCGGGGACUCAUAGGAGACUGCCGGGGUUAACUCGGAGGAAGGUGGGGAUGACGUCAAAUCAUCAUGCCCCUUAUGUCUUGGGCUUCACGCAUGCUACAAUGGCCGGUACAGAGGGUUGCGAUACUGUGAGGUGGAGCUAAUCCCUUAAAGCCGGUCUCAGUUCGGAUUGGGGUCUGCAACUCGACCCCAUGAAGUCGGAGUCGCUAGUAAUCGCAGAUCAGCAACGCUGCGGUGAAUACGUUCCCGGGCCU